CUCAUAGAAACACAUUGGGCAUAUUUUGGACAGAUUUUGGCGCGUUUGAAACCUCUCGCUUCGCCUCUUCCUCUCUGUGGAGAGCGCAUCGACGCAGCUGCAGGCAACAGUGCGACUUUUUCCUCAACACAUUGCAGAGGGUUCUCAUAGCUGGACUUCUCGCCCAAAAGCAAACGCUAACUUGGCCAUACCUUCAAAGUGUCCUCAGGGGUCUAUAGAUAAUGGGACAUGCUGGACCUACCACACACAGGACCACAACUUCUGCAAUACAGCAAGGUGCCUCUGGAAAGAAAACAGGCGAGACCCAGGCAUCAACGGGCCUCUGUUUAAAUAAGCAGGUGCCGCAGAUCUGAAUGUGGCCUCCUCAACAUCUGUUUGCCAGGACUCCAGCAACCAUUUACAUACACAAAUUAUGUGGAAAUACAAACAUUCACAUUUAAACUCAAACAAAGGCUAUUUUGGACAUUAAAAUGCAAUCUACUAUUCUGACAGGUGAGGGGUAAGAAUGGGGG
rnacentral:lncRNA from 1 species